CACAGAGAGCUUGCUCUCGGGUGACGAGUGGCGGACGGGUGAGUAAUGUCUGGGAAACUGCCUGAUGGAGGGGGAUAACUACUGGAAACGGUAGCUAAUACCGCAUAAUGUCGCAAGACCAAAGAGGGGGACCUUCGGGCCUCUUGCCAUCAGAUGUGCCCAGAUGGGAUUAGCUAGUAGGUGGGGUAACGGCUCACCUAGGCGACGAUCCCUAGCUGGUCUGAGAGGAUGACCAGCCACACUGGAACUGAGACACGGUCCAGACUCCUACGGGAGGCAGCAGUGGGGAAUAUUGCACAAUGGGCGCAAGCCUGAUGCAGCCAUGCCGCGUGUAUGAAGAAGGCCUUCGGGUUGUAAAGUACUUUCAGCGGGGAGGAAGGUGUUGUGGUUAAUAACCACAGCAAUUGACGUUACCCGCAGAAGAAGCACCGGCUAACUCCGUGCCAGCAGCCGCGGUAAUACGGAGGGUGCAAGCGUUAAUCGGAAUUACUGGGCGUAAAGCGCACGCAGGCGGUCUGUCAAGUCGGAUGUGAAAUCCCCGGGCUCAACCUGGGAACUGCAUUCGAAACUGGCAGGCUAGAGUCUUGUAGAGGGGGGUAGAAUUCCAGGUGUAGCGGUGAAAUGCGUAGAGAUCUGGAGGAAUACCGGUGGCGAAGGCGGCCCCCUGGACAAAGACUGACGCUCAGGUGCGAAAGCGUGGGGGAGCAAACAGGAUUAGAUACCCUGGUAGUCCACGCCGUAAACGAUGUCGAUUUGGAGGUUGUGCCCUUGAGGCGUGGCUUCCGGGAGCUAACGCGUUAAAUCGACCGCCUGGGGGAGUACGGGCCGCAAGGUUAAAACUCAAAUGAAUUUGACGGGGGCCCGCACAAGCGGUGGAGCAUGUGAUUAAUUCGAUGCACCGCGAAGGACCUUACCUGG
rnacentral:rRNA from 1 species